rnacentral:rRNA from 1 species
GUCAGAAUUGUGAUCUCAUGCAACUAGUACUUAUUGCCUUAUAAAUAGGUAUAUAAAUAAAGUACUUUUUGUGGACAUUGGGGGGUCGUGAAGACUUUAUCAGUGAGUUUUUGUUCUCGGAAGGACUAGAUAUGAAUAUUGAAUAAUCGGACAUAGUACGAAAAGGUUGUAUGUCUAAAGGGAAACAGCCCAGAACAAGAGUUAAUAAGGUUCCAAAAUUAUUGUUAAGUGAAAUUGAGGCAGUAUUUGUUCUAAACAGCCAGGCAAUAGGCUUAGAAGCGGCCAUUUUCUGAAGACCUCGUAACAGAGCACUGGUUUUAUUUAUAAUAAGGAUAAAAGCACCGAUAAUUUAACGGAUCUAAACAAUAUACCGAGACCUUGUCUAAAUAUAUUAAUGUUUACAUACAUUACAUUGUAUAUUUAGGGUAGCAGAACGUUGGUUAGGUAUAUUAUUACGCCUUUAUAAGGCAUAUAAGGUGUAUAUAUGUAUAUAUAUGUAUAUAUGCCGUUACAAACCAAGUGAUAAUGCUGACAUGAGUAACGAUAAAGGGGGUAUACCCUCGCCUAAAGCUUAUGGAAUUUAAUUAAAGUUNCCGCCCCCCAAAUUUNUUAUAUAUUUNAUGAAAUAACAAG